CAACUUCCCUUUCAUAAAUGCACGCUUACCAAUAGGUACCAUACAAUUGAUUGAUAACUCUAAAGCCAAUGCAGUUCCAACAAGAAGCCCAGCUCCAAGUACAGAUACUAAUUGCAGUUUAUCCUAAAAGUUCGAGACGAAUCGUAGGUAUAAUUCUAUUGUCAUCAUCAUCGGAGUACCUUCACCCAUUGUAUGCACAACUUGAGGUUUGUGUUU